rnacentral:rRNA from 1 species
GAUCCUGCUCAGAUUGAACGCUGGCGGCAGGCUUAACACAUGCAAGUCGAACGGUAACAUAAGGAAGCUUGCUUCUUUGAUGACGAGUGGCGGACGGGUGAGUAAUGCUUGGGAAUCUAGCUUAUGGAGGGGGAUAACUACGGGAAACUGUAGCUAAUACCGCGUAGAAUCGAGAGAUGAAAGUGUGGGACCUCCGGGCCACAUGCCAUAGGAUGAGCCCAAGUGGGAUUAGGUAGUUGG